GACGAACGCUGGCGGCGCGCUUAACACAUGCAAGUCGAACGGAAAGGCCUGCUUUCCCUUGUGGAUUGCGGGUACUCGAGUGGCGAACGGGUGAGUAACACGUGAGUGAUCUGCCCCCAACUUGGGUAUAAGCCUGGGAAACUGGGUCUAAUUCCCGAUAGGACUGCAGGGUGGUGCCUGUGGUGGAACACGAUUUUCUAGUGGUUGGGGAUGAGCUCGCGGCCUAUCAGCUUGUUGGUGGGGUAAUGGCCUACCAAGGCGGCGACGGGUAGCCGGCCUGGGAGGGUGGACGGGCACAUUGGGACUGAGAUACGGCCCAGACUCCGACGGGAGGCAGCAGUGGGGAAUAUUGCACAAUGGGCGGAAGCCUGAUGCAGCGACGCCGCGUGGGGGAUGACGGCCUUCGGGUUGUAAACUCCUUUCGACCGCGAGGAAGCCACCUGGUUGGAAGGGUGGUGACGGUAGUGGUAGAAGAAGCACCGGCUAACUACGUG
rnacentral:rRNA from 1 species